rnacentral:rRNA from 1 species
AACUGCCGGUGGAUACCGUCAGUCUGAGUAUGUCCAAGUAGCCGAAUGUGUAAUGUAGCGGGUGAAUGCUUAGAUAUUACACCAGAACACCGAUUGCGAAUGGCAGCUUACUGGACCAUUACUGACGCUGAUGCACGAAAGCGUGGGGAUCGUACAGGAUUAGAUACCUGGUAGUCCACGCCGUAACGAUGAUCACUCGCUGUUAGCGAUACACCAGUUAGCGGCUAGCAAAAGCAUUCACGUGAUCCACCUGGGGAGUACGGCUGCAAGGCUGAAACUCAAAGGAAUUGACGGGGGCCCGCACAAGCGGAGGAACAUGUGGUUUAAUUCGAUGAUACGCGAGGAACCUUACCUGGGCUUAAAUGUAGAGUGCAUUCAGCUGAAAGGCUGAUUUCCUUCGGGACUUUCUGCAAGGUGCUGCAUGGUUGUCGUCAGCUCGUGCCGUGAGGUGUCGGGUUAAGUCCCAUAACGAGCGCAACCCUUAUCGUUAGUUGCCAGCGGGUCAUGCCGGGAACUCUAACGAAACUGCCGGUGUAAACCGAGAGGAAGGUGGGGAUGACGUCAAAUCAGCACGGCCCUUAUGUCCAGGGCUACACACGUGUUACAAUGGCCGGUACAGAGGGCAGCUAUGCCGCGAGGCAAUGCGAAUCUCGAAAGCCGGUCUCAGUUCGGAUCGGAGUCUGCAACUCGA